AACGAACGCUGGCGGCAUGCCUAACACAUGCAAGUCGAACGAAGCCUUCGGGCUUAGUGGCGCACGGGUGCGUAACACGUGGGAAUCUGCCCUUCGGUUCGGAAUAACAGUUAGAAAUGACUGCUAAUACCGGAUGAUGACGAAAGUCCAAAGAUUUAUCGCCGAAGGAUGAGCCCGCGUAGGAUUAGGUAGUUGGUAGGGUAAUGGCCUACCAAGCCGACGAUCCUUAGCUGGUCUGAGAGGAUGAUCAGCCACACUGGGACUGAGACACGGCCCAGACUCCUACGGGAGGCAGCAGUGGGGAAUAUUGGACAAUGGGCGAAAGCCUGAUCCGGCAAUGCCGCGUGAGUGAUGAAGGCCUUAGGGUUGUAAAGCUCUUUACCAGGGAUGAUAAUGACAGUACCUGGAGAAUAAGCUCCGGCUAACUCCGUG
rnacentral:rRNA from 1 species